rnacentral:lncRNA from 1 species
UGCUGAGGGUGAGGGUGAGGAGGCUAGGCGAGGCUGGCAACUCAUACUUACCUGGCAGGGGAGAUACCAUGAUCACGAAGGUGGUUUUCCCAGGGCGAGGCUUAUCCAUUGCACUCCGGAUGUGCUGACCCCUGCGAUUUCCCCAAAUGUGGGAAACUCGACUGCAUAAUUUGUGGUAGUGGGGGACUGCGUUCGCGCUUUCCCCUGGUGUUGCUGGUACAAAAAAAAAGUCUUCGUUUGCUUUUUUUUUUUUUUUUUUUUUUUUUUCUCCUCCAGUAGCUUUUUGUGUGUGAGUGUAAUAAAUGCGUUAGAAUAAGAACUCUUUUUUUUUAU